CGCUUAGUCUCGCUUUUUCGACUAAAGUUGAAGGCUCAACAAAAAUAAUUAUGAUCUUCAUGUAUGAUAUAAUAUUAGAUGACACCAUGUGACAAUAUCAACAUCAUGUAUCGUAUCAAAAAGUAUCUCGUGUUUCAAACUGACAAAUGAUUGAAAUUUUUUUUUGGUGUUGAAGCUCAUUUCAAGGUAACAGUCUGCGGGAAGACAUGGGCAGAAAAAUGGCAAUAGUUCACAGUAUUGGCCUAAACUUUGGCCGGAUUGUUGAUACUACUAUUUUAACUGAUCAUCUUUGGAGUAUAAGAGAGGCAGAAGAUGGCAAAGGAUAUUCGAAGAUCUUCAAAGUCUAAAGUCGAAAACUAUUUUACAUUGCCAUGCAAAGAAACGAGAAUAACAGACU
rnacentral:lncRNA from 1 species